GGCACUGAGCACUGAGUGAUACAAAUGCCAUUUUUAAAGUUAUUUGAAGAGAUUUUGUCAUUAUUUCCAGCUCUUACAGGAGGCUUUUUUACCCUAAAGCUGUGGCUGUUUUCACACUUGGCUCUCCAGGUCAUGAGCAGCAGGUGACACAAAAGGACAGGACAGAGGUGACACCUCUCCUGCCUCACUCUGGGAUGCUCUGUGGGCAAGCCCAGCCCGGGCAGGACAUGGCUGCAUCCAUCCCUCAGCCACAGGAAUGGCUUUACAUCCCAAAAUCCUGCCAGGAGCAGGUUCAGGACAUGGCUGCAUCCAUCAUCCAUCAGCUACAUCCCAAAAUUCUGCCAGGAGCAGGUUCAGGACGUGGCUGCAUCCACCCCUCAGCCACAGGAACGGCUGUGCAUCCCAAAAUCCUGCCAGGAGGGGGUUCAGGACAUGGCUGCAUCCACCCCUCAGCCACAGGAAUGGCUGUGCAUCCCAAAAUCCUGCCAGGAGCAGGUUCAGGAUGUGGCUCAUCCCUUCCUCACCUGCAGGAAUGGCUGUGCAUCCCAAAAUCCUGCCCGGAGCAGGUGCUGCACAUCCCUGUGGGGUAUGGGGCAGCUCCUGGGAUGCCUCACUGGCAUCAGAGCAUCCCCAAAUCCCAUCUGCACCCCCCACGCCGCAUUAAUGGCUCGUACUUUGCUAAUUGUACAAACCUAAUGGGGGAAGGAGCUGGCGGGGGAAAAAAAAGGGUAAUGGCCAUCAGGCCAGCAAUAAACCAAAAUUAA
rnacentral:lncRNA from 1 species